UGCAUAAAUUUUUGAAUAAAAAUUAUUUUGUUACUCUUUUGGAGGAUGUAAAAAUUUGAGUUGAUAUUGUUAUGAAAUUAAGUAUCAUAGUUUAUGACAAAUUGAUUAAAGUGAAAUUAUGAGAAAAAUUUUUUAGUUAGAUUAUGAUCUAGAUCUAACCAAUAAGACUGAUCAUCGAUCAUGUUGGUGCAAAAAUCCAUCUGCGCCGGAGAAGCUGGAGUUGUGGGGG
rnacentral:lncRNA from 1 species